CUGUUAGGCCUAUAACUUCUAAUUCAAUGUAGUAAGAUUCCUCAGUUGUCACAAAAUGAGCUUAAUCACAAGGAUCGUAAUUUGUUUAUCGACGAUGGGGGAAGGCGGGACUCAGUGUUCUCUCCACUUCGACCUCCACGACGGCCAUAUUAACAGAUAAUUUAAUCAAUAUUUUUGAGUAGUAAAGAGGACAAUGAGUAACUACGUGAAUAUCCAUGCGGAGAAGUACUUUUCAAAUGAGACAGCCCAUUGAAUAAUGCAAAGCUCAAACGACCAAGGAACCCUCGAUAAGAGUCUGGGCGCAGUAUGUAAAUAGACUUAUCUAAC